GCAAUUUUCAGUUGAGUUCAACUGGUAAAACCUUUGGCUGAUGAUACCAGAGGUUAAGGGUUCAAAUCCCGCAAACAUUACC